rnacentral:rRNA from 1 species
UCUAAGCACAUGCCUUAAUACGGUGAAGCCGCGAAUAGCUCAUUACAACAGCCAUCGUUUAUUAGAAUAUCGUUAUCCUACUUGGAUAACUGUGGCAAUUCUAGAGCUAAUACAUGCAAUAAAGCUCCGCCCGCAAGGAACGAGCGCAUUUAUUAGAAUAAAAACCAAUCGAGCCUCGGCUCGUGAUUUGGUGAAUCUGAAUAACUUUGCCAAUCGCACAGUCCUAGUACUGGCGAUGUAUCUUUCAAGUGUCUGCCUUAUCAACUUUCGAUGGUACGCUAUACGCCUACCAUGGUAGUAACGGGUAACGGAGAAUAAGGGUUCGACUCCGGAGAGGGAGCCUGAGAAACGGCUACCACAUCCAAGGAAGGCAGCAGGCGCGCAAAUUACCCACUUCCAGAACGGAGAGGUAGUGACGAAAAAUAACGAGACAGUCCUCUUCGAGGUCUGUCAUCGGAAUGGGUACAAUUUAAA